CCUUGUCUCAAGCAUGGGAAGGAAAAGCACUGGAGAAGAGUUGGUUUUCUUGCAGGAGCAUAUCAUACAAAUAUAACAAAUAAACGUCUAACAGAUCAACCUGGUUGCAAGGAACCUGUGCUGAUGAGACAUCACUGUCAGCGGGUCUGCUUAUUACAAUCCUCAGAGAAGUUAAUGUCAAGGAUGAGCCAAGACAACCUAAAUGAAGAACUUGAUCACAAUUUCAAAGCUUCAUUUCUUACUGGAAAAUCUUUUGGGAGGUACAUCACCUUUGUCCCAGCUGAACCAGUCCACAUCUUUUGAGAUGCAAAUGUCACUUCAGAGUCUUUUCUUGGGAAGAGCUAUAGCCUACAUGGAAUAUUUUUUUAUCCACAAGAUCUGAAAAUAAAUGGAGGGAAGAAAUGUGUCAGAUGGUAUGAAAAGGAAGAUAGUUUGUAAUACGAAUAAUUUGAUGAUGAUGUGAUGUGUCAUACUGAAAGCUAAACUUGCGGUGGAACCAGCACAUGUAGAGGCUGGGCCAUUAUCCAGCCCCAGAGGACACUGACAAGACAAGCC
ensembl:lncRNA